rnacentral:rRNA from 1 species
GUGGGGAAUAUUGGACAAUGGGCGAAAGCCUGAUCCAGCCAUGCCGCGUGUGUGAAGAAGGUCUUCGGAUUGUAAAGCACUUUAAGUUGGGAGGAAGGGUAGUAACCUAAUACGUUGCUACUUUGACGUUACCGACAGAAUAAGCACCGGCUAACUUCGUGCCAGCAGCCGCGGUAAUACGAAGGGUGCAAGCGUUAAUCGGAAUUACUGGGCGUAAAGCGCGCGUAGGUGGUUCAGUAAGUUGGAAGUGAAAUCCCCGGGCUCAACCUGGGAAAUGCUUUCAAAACUGCUGAGCUAGAGUACGGUAGAGGGUGGUGGAAUUUCCUGUGUAGCGGUGAAAUGCGUAGAUAUAGGAAGGAACACCAGUGGCGAAGGCGACCACCUGGACUGAUACUGACACUGAGGUGCGAAAGCGUGGGGAGCAAACAGGAUUAGAAACCCGUGUAGUCC